CCUACGGGUGGCAGCAGUGAGGAAUAUUGGUCAAUGGACGAGAGUCUGAACCAGCCAAGUAGCGUGAAGGAUGACUGCCCUAUGGGUUGUAAACUUCUUUUAUACAGGAGUAAAACGAGGCACGUGUGCCUUUUUGCAUGUACUUUAUGAAUAAGGAUCGGCUAACUCCGUGCCAGCAGCCGCGGUAAUACGGAGGAUCCAAUCGUUGUCCGGAUUUAGUGGGUUUAAAGGGAGCGUAGAUGGGUGGUUAAGGAAGUGGUGAAAGGUUGCGGCUCAACCGUGAGAUUGCAAUGGAUACUGGCAGUCUUGAGUACAGUUGAGGUAGGCGGAAUUCGUGGUGUAGCGGUGAAAUGCUGAGAUAUCACGAAGAACCCCGAUUGCGAAGGCAGCUUACUAAACUGUAACUGACAUUGAUGCUCGAAAGUGUGGGUAUCAAACAGGAUUAGAUACCCUAGUAGUC
rnacentral:rRNA from 1 species